CUGUGGUGCAUUGUAGUUGCAUUGCAUGUGUGUCUCAUCUGAGUGCAAUGUACCUGCAGUGCAACACAG
rnacentral:pre_miRNA from 1 species